CAUAGCAUGGAGAGACCUCAUUGGCUUCUUAGCUGCCUAUCUCGGCCGCACAGGCACUGGUUGGCUCAUGCGAGGGCUUGUUUGAUUCGUCACAUCCUCGACUACAAAUCUGACGCGUUUUGAAAGUUUGGUAUGUGUCCAAUGAGACGUAGGAGUCCAACAAAGGGCGGAAGUGAAGCUUCGUGUUCAGUUUCCGGUCAAACAAAUAAUUCUUGUGAAGCGAGCAAAGCGUUUUGGAUUAAAAGGAUUACAUUUUCAAGUUUUUUGGACUCUCGGGGAUUUUUACAAGCAUUUGUUUUGGAAAAUACAUUAACAUUAAUGACAAUGUGAAGAAAGGGAAAUUUAAAGACCAGCGUUUAAAGUCGACUUGGAAUUGACCAUGAACCCUGGAUAAAGAGGCUGAGUGAAUUUGCACUUGGUUUUGUGGAGCAGCUUCAUCUUGUCAGAGACGCUGUAGAAAGACAAAAUUCCUGCCUUGUGAUCCACAAACACUCCUAUCCUAGAGGGGAUGGAGCUCAUGUGGAUUUUGGUUUCUUGGUUGUUGUGUAAGAAUGAGUAACCAGAUGAUUGGCAAAGCAAACUCCAGGACUUAUCAUUACGUCCAAACGCACAUUCAUUACUGCUUCCCUUCCUGCUGAUGUUUUUAUAAGACACUGCUAUAUGAACCCCAUUAACCCCACUCCACUCCACCUCCCAGUAAGAGUAUCCAGACACACUCUCACUACACAACACCUGGGAGUAACAGUCAAAACUCUCUGGAGGAUUACAGUAUGUCACUACUGAUGAACAGUUAGUCACCACUGUGUUCCCACCAGACAGAAGAAGGUAAAAAUUAGCUGUAUUGGGAUCCAGUGUGAACUGGACAGAAUCUGAUGGAGGAAAAAAAAACACCACAUCAGUAACAAUUCAAGAAGAAAAUUCCUGAACAUAACUUUAUUUAACCCCAUGAUCGGUUCUGGAAAACUUUUGUCCAUUAUCUUCUAAGUUAAUUGUUUUAAAACAACAAUGAAUUUACCAAAUCAACUGUUAUUUAGUCUACAGUUUCAAUAGCCACAUAAUAAUAAUGAAUUUUUUACAAUCAUCAGAAUCCACUAUAAAACUAUGAAACUGCUGCAAGUCCAAAUAGGAUCCACUUCAAUAUAAUGACUGCAUGAGUUUCUGAGAACAGUGUAUUUUAGUAUAAUUGGAGAACGAUCAUUGAAGAAUGACAAAAAUAUAUGCACUUUAAAAAGAGACCUGAGAACGAAUGCAUAUAACUGAACAGUGAAACUUGCUCUUUUGUUCAGCAAGCAUGGUUGCCAGGUCAAGAAAGUGAACAUCCAUAUAUAGCAGAUAUUUAUACUGCAAAAUCAGUAAGUUUGUUUCCCUAACAACCAUUUUUGACAUUUGUGUUUGGGAUAGUAUGAUCUUGGAGUGGGAAUUUUGCUUCUUUUUUUUUGUGAGUUAAUGUAAACAUUAAUGUAAAAAUUAAUGUUUAUGUAAACAUUGCAACAUUUAAAAACAUCACGCUCGCUUGUGUUGAAAGGAUCUCUUAAUGAAGCUGAUCAGUCUUCUAAAAAAGUAUUCCAAAGUUGUGUGUGUGCGCUUAUGAAAGACACUUACAUUCUAAAAACUCUCCUCUGCUUUGAGGGGGAAUCACUCGAACUUUCUUCACUAGAUAAACACAGUUACAAGCACACAGUUAAUCACAAAUGAACAAAAACAGCAUUUUGUAAGAGAAUUAUUCAGUCAAAGGUGUAAUUUGCUACAAAUACACUCAAUCGUACAGAAUGUAGUUUUACAUCCAAAGUAGAGGUGGUAUUUUUAAUUCAUCUCAGUGACUUGAAUCUUUUGAUUCCAUUAAGUAAAGUUUAGAUUCGUUCACUGACCCUUUCAUUAAAUGAUAUUACAGACACAGUGUAUGUACGUUUACAUAAACUGAGCCAGAGAGAGAAUAGCUAGGGCUUACCUUGACUUGACAUCUUCUCAGUCCUUUCUUUGUAGUGGUUUUCUAGGUUAUUUCUCAAUUCAGACACAGAUUUUAUUACAUCUUCAAACGUAUGGAGAGAAUUCACUGUGAUGGUGGGUAAGUCUGCAUGUUGAAGAGGAGCUGAGAUUGCCCGAAAGUUCUGCACAAAGACAGAAAAACAAAGAGAAGCCCAUGCUUUGCAUGUUAUAUGUCAUAGAAUACUGCUUGUACACAUUCAAAUACAAGUAAUAGUAGUUUUCUAAUAAAACGUGUCAGUAGAUCUUAGAACUUAGUAAACGUGGUCACAUGCCGAAACUGAGAAUUACAGUUAACAGGAAUUUUGUAUGAUUGUGAUUGUGGAAAUAAAAUAUAUUUAUGCAUUAA